AUGGUGUACAUGACUGUUUUGUUCAUCGGGUGUCUUCUUAUGGUUGGACAAUGUCGUCGUCCUGAGCCUGAGAGCAUCUACGAAGAUGGCCGUGCCAACACAACUAUGUCCUCGUCAUUAGAUGACAGCAAAAUUACCGUGAAAUUUUGUCCUCCUAGAAAUUGUACAUCUAAAGGUGAAUUCUGGGGCUGGGAUCCAGAGUGCUACUGCUACCUCACUAAGCCGGGUGUACCGUGUUUUCAUACCGCAGAGGAGUGUGAGAAGAAAUGCCCACCAUUGAAAUAA
rnacentral:rRNA from 1 species